CUGUUGGGCUUCCUAAUUGUUGCUCAGAUUAGUUGUCUUGCUAGUCUUCCCAAGAGUUUGGAGAAAGGCAAGCACGCAGAGCUCACCAAGUUUGAUGAGAGGCAAAAGUGAAGAUGCUCACAAGGGGCGCGAGAGAGUGUGGCGAAAAGACAAACAAGGGUGCCAUUUCAUCCCAGUGACGCUGAUGUCAAGCCCGGGAGAUGGCACCGCAGAGAGAACAAGAAAUGGUGUUGCUCCAGAGAUAUAGUUGAGACCAAACUAUUGCAGGCGGCACAUAAACCGUGGUCGCCAGUGUUCAAGAAACCAUGUCCAAGGCCGAAAGAUGACACCCACCAUUGCAGAAUAGAGCCAUGGUUUGUUCCUGGUGGUGUAUUGUCAUAGAUUUAGUUGGUGGGAAUAAACUAACAGCAGGAGUAGCUUACAUGUAAUAGAAAGUGGUGGUCUAACUCAUCUCACUAGAAUAGCCAUUUACUUCAAAA